AUGUCUCCCUUCUGGGUGGAUUACUGGCGAACGGGUGAGUAACACUUGGGUAAUCUGCCCUGCACUCUGGGACAAGCCCUGGAAACGGGGUCUAAUACCGGAUACGAGCCUCCCGGGCAUCUGGGAGGUUGGAAAGCUCCGGCGGUGCAGGAUGAGCCCUCCCCCUAUCAGCUUGUUGGUGAGGUAACGGCUCACCAAGGCGACGACUGGUAGCCGGCCUGAGAGGGCGACCGGUCACUCUGGGACUGACACACCGCCCAGACUCCUACGGGAGGCAGCUGUGGGGAAUAUUGCACAAUGGGCGAAAGCCUGAUGCAGCGACGCCGCGUGAGGGAUGACGGCCUUCGGGUUGUAAACCUCUUUCGCAGGGAAGAAGCGAAAGUGACGGUACCUGCAGAAGAAGCGCCGGCUAACUACGUGCCAUCAGCCGCGGUAAUACGUAGGGCGCACGCGUUGUCCGGAAUUAUUGGGCGUAAAGAGCUCGUAGGCGGCUUGUCGCUUCYAUUGUGAAAGCCCGGGGCUUAACUCCGGGUCUGCAGUCGAUACGGGCAGGCUAGAGUGUGGUAGGGGAGAUCGGAAUUCCUGGUGUAGCGGUGAAAUGCGCAGAUAUCAGGAGGAACACCGGUGGCCAAGGCGGAUCUCUGGGCCAUUACUGACCCUGAGGAGCGAAAGCGUGGGGAGCGAACAGGAUUAUAUACCCUGGUAGUCCACGCCCUAAACGGGGGGCACUAGGUGUUGGCGACAUUCCAC
rnacentral:rRNA from 1 species